rnacentral:tRNA from 1 species
ACUUAAGUAGUUUAUAUUUAAAAUAUUGAUUUGUGGUGUCAGUGAAGUAAUUUUACCUUAGGUU